UGCAACGUAUCUGAAGCAAAAGUCACUAGU
rnacentral:piRNA from 1 species